rnacentral:lncRNA from 1 species
UGUCUAGGAACAGUAAUUUAGUUUGACAAACAGCUAUGGAGUGCCAGAAAGACUAGGGUUUUCAUCUACAUGGAAUUAUCCCAUGGACCAAUAUGUGGGCUGCUGUCUGAACAGCACAGAUGAAUCCAUUUUCCACUACUUAAGAGUGAAGUGUGAAGGGCCAGCAUCUUUCAAAUGGAAGACAAUCUGUUUAGAAUAAUAGAAGAAGCAUAGUAAAUAACUGCUGCAAAUGAACAAAUUCUGUUUUGCCCAAUAGGAUCAUCGAGGCAGAAGAGCUUCUCCAAAUGCAUCAUUUAUUUCAUUGAAGGUCAAACUCUUUUUUAGGUUGUGGACUGUUUCUAUAUUGGAAAAUUGCUUCCCCUCAUGGCAACACAAAAAUUUAUUGCCCCAGAAUUAAGUGAAUGGAUUAUAUUCUCAAAGGAGUGGAUGUCUGAGUUCUAGUUAAUACAAAUAAAUAUGGUUUUGGAAUAAA